rnacentral:rRNA from 1 species
UGCCUCCGAGUGGGGGAUAACGUCCCGAAAGGGACGCUAAUACCGCAUGACAUCCUGCCCUUGGAAGGGCGGAGAUCAAAGCUGGGGAUCGCAAGACCUGGCGCUUGAAGAGGGGCCCGCGCCUGAUUAGCUAGUUGGUGGGGUAAAGGCCUACCAAGGCGACGAUCCUUAGCUGGUCUGAGAGGAUGAUCAGCCACACUGGGACUGAGACACGGCCCAG